CCUACGGGUGGCAGCAGUGAGCAAUAUUGGUCAAUGGCCGUAAGGCUGAACCAGCCAAGUCGCGUGAAGGAAGACGGCCCUAUGGUUUGUAAACCUCUUUUAUAGGGGAAUAAAGGCAUCCACGUGUGGAUAUCUGCAUGUACCCUAUGAAUAAGCAUCGGCUAACUCCGUGCCAGCAGCCGCGGUAAUACGGAGGAUGCGAGCGUUAUCCGGAUUUAUUGGGUUUAAAGGGUGCGUAGGCUGUUUUUUAAGUCAGCGGUGAAAGCUUGUGGCUCAACCAUAAGAGUGCCGUUGAAACUGGAGGGCUUGAGUGUGUGUGAGGUAGGCGGAAUGCGUGGUGUAGCGGUGAAAUGCAUAGAUAUCACGCAGAACUCCGAUUGCGAAGGCAGCUUACUGGGCCAUAACUGACGCUGAGGCACGAAAGCGUGGGUAUCGAACAGGAUUAGAUACCCUUGUAGUC
rnacentral:rRNA from 1 species